rnacentral:rRNA from 1 species
GACAGAGGGUGCAAACGUUGUUCGGAAUUACUGGGCGUAAAGCGUGCGCAGGCGGUUAUGCAAGACAGAUGUGAAAUCCCCGGGCUCAACCUGGGAACUGCAUUUGUGACUGCAUGGCUAGAGUGCGGCAGAGGGGGAUGGAAUUCCGCGUGUAGCAGUGAGAUGCGUAGAUAUGCGGAGGAACACCGAUGGCGAAGGCAAUCCCCUGGGCCUGCACUGACGCUCAUGCACGAAAGCGUGGGGAGCAAACAGG